AAGAUGGCGACCGGCGCACGGGUGAGUAACACGUGUCCAACCUGCCGAUAACUCCGGAAUAGCCUUUCGAAAGAAAGAUUAAUACCGGAUAGCAUACGAAUAUCGCAUGAUAUUUUUAUUUAAAGAAUUUCGGUUAUCGAUGGGGAUGCGUUCCAUUAGGCAGUUGGUGGGGUAACGGCCCACCAAACCUUCGAUGGAUAGGGGUUCUGAGAGGAAGGUCCCCCACAUUGGAACUGAGACACGGUCCAA
rnacentral:rRNA from 1 species